rfam:Thermococcus gammatolerans EJ3, complete genome.
UUCGUGAUGAGCACUCUCGAACCUGACCCAGGGAUGAUGACCGGAUUCCUGGCUGAU